GUAAUGGAAGACUUGUUUAAUUCUACUUAUGUUUAACAACUCUUUUAAGCUUCCAAUAUAUACUAAUCAGAUUUUAGUAAUGAAACUGACUUUUAUAUUUAAUCAUUUGAAAAAUAUAAAAAAAUUUAGACAAAAACAACUUUCAUAUUUGUCACUUAAAAGAAUUGUUAAACAUAAGUAGAAUUAAACAAGUCUUCCAUUA
rnacentral:pre_miRNA from 1 species